rnacentral:lncRNA from 1 species
GGGAAUUAAAAAAUAGCUAAAAAUAGCUAUAUUAUGCGAUAAAAUUUGAAUGCUAAAAGUAGCUAUAUUCUGGGACAAGGCAGUACGUAAAACCUAAACAGACCAAGAAAUUUGAUCAACCAAAUUUGUUAGGACCCUCAUUAGAUUCUGUUUGGCACAACUGAAACCUCCUUAGAAGUAAUAUGGUGAUUGUUCACAUUGCGAUGGCGAUCAGUGUUCUGACUGUCUUUCCUAUCGUAAUAAAAGUUGAUCAGAAGAGAUUUAAACACACUCCACUCCAUGUGAAACGAUUGGGCAUGCAUGGCCUGGAGUAUAAUCAACUCAAGCUGGAGGAAUGUUCAGUA